GAAAUGCGAUACUUGGUGUGAAUUGCAGAAUUCAGUGAAUCAUCGAAUCUUUGAACGCACAUUGCGCCCGCCAGUAUUCUGGCGGGCAUGCCUGUUCGAGCGUCAUUACAACCCUCAGGCCCCCGGGCCUGGCGUUGGGGAUCGGCGGAGCGCCCCCUGCGGGCACACGCCGUCCCCCAAAUACAGUGGCGGUCCCGCCGCAGCUUCCAUUGCGUAGUAGCUAACACCUCGCAACUGGAGAGCGGCGCGGCCACGCCGUAAAACACCCAACUUCUGAAUGUUGACCUCGAAUCAGGUAGGAAUACCCGCUGAACUUAA
rnacentral:misc_RNA from 1 species